GAGCAGUGAUUAAAUCUGUGCUGUGAUUGGAUCGGGUCCAUCAAAACUGACUGAUCUCUUGAUUAGCUCAAAGCACUAAUGAGCUC